GCCGAGUGAUUGCUCAUGUUACCGAGAGAUCGAAAAGCGAGCGAGGCAGUUUUGUUGUGUUAUUUUGGUAGAUACAAGUGUAGUGAAAGACAAAACCCCUAUGCGCAUAGCCAGACGACUAUACAUCCGAUGUUCAGAAAGAAGCUAUUUGACAAGAAAGUAAAUUAAACUAACGAUGGUUGGCAAGAAAACUCACAUAUUCUAAGAAACACAAGCGGAGGAUAUUUUGAAAAAAAGGACGUGAUAAUUCUAAGAUAUUUUUCACGACAUGGAAUUAAAUGUAGCAAGCAGUCACUUUGGAUUAUUGAACAGGCAUAACAAAUUAGUAACGUAUACUAGGAAUAAGGAAAGCGAUAAAUGGGCGAUUUCCUUUUAAGAAAUGUAAGUUCCAGAAGAAAACAAAGGUAAAACAGAAAAGCAGUAAACGGAAAGUAAGAAAAUAUCCAUUGGUCAUUGUAGAAAAAUGAAAGAGUAAGGAGGACUUGAAAAAGGACGCCCAUAAGCCCUUGCUGCCCGCCCGCCCUCCGCCGACCAUCAGCGACUGGUGCAGGUGACUUUCCCCCUGAAGCCACAACAAGGAAAUGGAAAAGGAAAUGGAGGGGAAUUCAGGGGCGCCGUGGUUAUACAACUCAGUGCUUGUUCCCUGGAAUUAUGCAAGGUCUUUAAUAAGUGAUGUGACCUCUCUCAUCUCUCUGGACUCCGCUUACUACCAGACCGGCGAUGACACCGUCACAGUCGGAUAU